UUAGUUCACUUCCACAGAAGUAGAUGGAAAUUGGACAGCCUAGGGGUACACAAGACAUUAUGAAAAAGUUCGGUUUCUGUAAUAACUAUCAGGUUGAAAUGCGUUUGUUCGAUCAAACUAUCAAUUCUUGAUAGAAUUAUUUGUUAGAAUCUGUUUAGUAGUUAUUCUCUAUUUCCUUUCUUCAAGGAAUUUCUCGAUGCUACCAUACCAAUUCCACUGGAAACAUAGACCAACAACACGUAAAAUUCCAGCUGCUAUCACUUCGAUAAAUGCCAUCAGGAAUGAUCUCUGAGGAGAUAGACCAGAGGUUGCUAGGGAAAGAAAGAAUCCCUCAAAGUUGCAGGGGACAAUGAAGUUUCCUGAUUUAAGGCCAUUCAAAGCUUUUUUUGCAACUUCAUCAGCUUUCAUGGAACCAG
rnacentral:misc_RNA from 1 species